rnacentral:rRNA from 1 species
UACGGAGGGGGCUAGCGUUGUUCGGAAUUACUGGGCGUAAAGCGUGCGCAGGCGGUUGUGCAAGACAGAGGUGAAAUCCCCGAGCUUAACUUGGGAACUGCCUUUGUGACUGCACGGCUAGAGUGUGUCAGAGGGGGGUAGAAUUCCACGUGUAGCAGUGAAAUGCGUAGAGAUGUGGAGGAAUACCGAUGGCGAAGGCAGCCCCCUGGGAUAACACUGACGCUCAUGCACGAAAGCGUGGGGAGCAAACAGG